rnacentral:lncRNA from 1 species
CGGGGUGCUCUUCGUCGAGCUCCGUUGGCUGAGCGGCCGGGCGAGGUCGCGGAGGCAGAGGUAGGUGGUGUCGGUGGGCAAGGGGCAUGCAUCAGCAGCAGCAGAAAUGCUGCAGCUGAGCUAGACAGUCGUAGGUGCAGUAGCAGCUUGUAGCAAGGAGCGGCCUGCACUCAGCUCCUUGAGCGACUGGCCACAAAACAAGAAGUUGUACUGUUGGGCAGGAGGUCCUCAACCCCGCAACUCCUCCAGCAGGCUCCACUGUUUGCCGUUGAAUUAUAAGCCAUGGCAUUGGAGUGGGAUGCGUCCACACUGACGACAUUGAACAGACAGGGGUGGUGGCUGCGAACUGCCUGUACGUGGUGGUGGCGUAGUACCAUCAGGGAGGAGGAAGAGUGGUGGCAGGGGAGCAUCACCUGCUGCCGGAGGAUAAGUUGGCAAUAUCGUAUUCUAUUAUGUAUUGAACUUAAGUGCAGGGUUGAAUUGAACUUUUCUAACACAUAUUCACUGAACUCGGUCCCCUUGAAUGUUUAUUUUUAUAGUUAUGUUGGCAUGAGGCUAUGAAAUACAUCUCAACAAUUGUUUUUGGGUGAGUUUCAAAAAAUAUAAUACUAAGUGAAAUACUGGGCAAUCUCCUCUAUUUCAUACUCAGCAAAAGCAAAACGUUUGGGUCGACUAGUUUCCUUGUCACGGGGUAUGUGCAAGUCUACUACACGACCUACCUGAAUAAGAAUCUCAUACAAAACCCUCUCCGAGACCUUUUCAUCCAAGUUACCUAUUUAAGAAAUACACAGUUCAAGAAUUAAUACAGUACUGGUGAUUACUCCAUUAUAUUUAGGCAUGCAAAAAAGAGAGGCAAAGUGGAACAAUAACAAUCGUUGAAAAAUAGCGAAACUAGAGUACAGCAACACGUCAACCAUGGUAAACAUAUAUAUGCAAAAAAGAGGGGCAAAGUGGGACAUGAACAAUCAUUGAAAAAUAGCAGAACUAGAGUACUGCAACAGUGUCAACUAUGAAAAACAUAGAUCAGUCAACUAGCAGAACUAGAGGAUCUGCAACAGCCUAACAGUAAAUAAAACUGUCAAGGGCCUCGGUGCCCAAGACAGCAGGACCUCGACUACGUAGUUCGUAGUCGCGGUGGAUAGGAGCGCUAGGGUUUUUGCCUGGCUGCUCUAUGAUGCGGGAGGGGAAGAUAGAAGGAAAUAACUUUAUUGCUUAUCCCUAAAGGGUGCUAACUAUCUGAUAUAUAAAGGCCCCAUGGGCUAAUAACAAACUAGAAACCUAUACGAAACAAACUAGUCUAGGAACUAAUGUGCCCGGAUCAGGACUCCUGUCCAGCCUGCGCCUUGCCUGAUGCGGCCAUCGGCUGCUCCUGGCCGUGCGGCCCACGUCUGUAAGACGUGCCCCACAUGACAUCUCUCCCCCCCUCGAGGAGCAGCUCGUCCUCGAGCUGAAAAGCGGGGUAGCGCUCGACGAAACUGUCAAGAUCCUCCCAUGUAGCUGACGAAGCUGCUUCACCCUUCCAGUGGACGAGUAGCUGGCGAACGCCGCGUGCUAGGCGCGCACGAGUCACGCGCUCUGGUUCUGGAACAGCCGCCCCGUUGUGGAUCGAAGGCAAUCCCGGCGGUGUAGUUGGAGGAAUGCCGAAGAACUUCUUGAGGAGGCCCACGUGGAACACGUCAUGGAGGCGCGAGCGUGCCGGAAGCUCAAGACGGUAUGCCACGUCGUUGAUCACUUCUGAAAUGCGGUACGGCCCAUAGAAUCGUGGCUUGAGCUUGCCCCUGGUUGGCAAGUUAAGAGAGGACGCGGCGCGCUGUCGAAGGCGAAGCCAAAGCCAAUCGCCCACCUCAUGCCGAAUGUCCCGAUGACGUCUGUCGUAGUAGGACUUAUAGACCGCCUGUGCCUGUUGUAGACGAUAGCGGACGUCCUCGAUAAGUUCGUCGCGCUCAGCCAUGCUCCUGGCCACUGCAGCCACCCGUGUGUCGCCGGGCUCGUAAGAGCGAAUAGUGGGAGGGUCACGGCCAUACACAAGCUUGAACGGAGUCUCUUGGGUUGCUGUCUGGUAGGCGGUGUUGUAUAUGUACUCAGCCCAGGGAAGCCACCGGAGCCACUGCUUGGGACGAUCCCCGGUAAGACACCGUAAAUACAUCACAAUGAUCUUGUUAGCAGCCUCCGUUUGACCAUCCGACUGCGGGUGAAAUGCUGACGUCAUGUGCAGCUUUGUCCCCGUGAGGCGCAUGAGCUCUCGCCAAAAAGCGGAGGUGAAGACGGGGUCGCGGUCAGAGACCAUGGACUGCGGCACGCCAUGGAGACGAACAACCUCAGCGAAGAACACCUGUGCCACUGACUCUGCCGUGUAUGGGUGGGCUAACGCCACAAAAUGGCAAUACUUACUGAAGCGAUCCACCACGGUGAGGAUGACAGACUUCCCGCCUACUCGAGGAAGCGCUUCCACGAAGUCGAUGCCGAUGUCAGUCCACACGCCCGUGGGCACCGGCAGCGGCAGUAGCAGCCCAGCGGGGUGCAAGUGCUCGGACUUGUACCGCUGGCAAGUACCGCAAGUGCGGACGUACUCCUGCACCAUCUUGCGAAGGUUAGGUGCGUGGAAAUCGCGGCGGAGACGAUGCAAUGUGCGCAGGACGCCUUCAUGCCCAUCAUCGUGCAUGGCACUGAGAAUCUCCUGGAGUAGCGGGGAUGACGGCGGAAUGUAGAGGCGGCUGUUGAAAGUAACGAGGCCGUCGGAGAGCGCCCAAGGCUGUUGCCGCGCACCUGCCGUGAUAUCCUCCCGCAGUGUGACGAGCGCCGGAUCAGUGGACGUCGCUUGCCGGAGGCGAUUGAUGAAGUCGAAACGAGGCCCUGAGACCGCCAUGAUCGUCGUCUCCUCCGUGUCACGGCGGGAAAGUGCAUCCGCCACCGUGUUGGUACUACCUGCCUUGUACUCCACCGUAAAGUCGAAUCCCAGGAGUUUGCCAACCCAAUGAUGCUGCGGGAUGGUGGCCAAACGCUGGUCAAGCAGAAAUUUGAGGCUGUAAUGAUCCGUUUUUACCACAAACUGACGCCCCCAUAGGUACGGCCUCCAAUGGCGAAUCGCGAGCACCAGGCCGAUGAGUUCCCGUUCAUACGCUGCCAGGGAACGGUGACGUGGCGCGGCUGGCCGGCUAAAGAAAGCCACCGGGUGGUGGUCCUGAAGAAGGACGGCCCCGAAACCGUACGUCGAUGCGUCACACUCGACGAUGAACGGCCGUGUAAAAUCCGGUAACGCGAGGACGGGAGCCAUGGUGAUUGCCGUCUUGAGGGUGUUAAAAGCUGCUGCCGCCUCCGGCGACCAAGAGAAACCAUCCUUGCGAAGGAGGGCCGUCAGGGGCGCGGCAACCACGCCAAAGUCCUUGACAAACUUGCGGUAGUACCCCGCAAGGCCGAGAAAGCCCCGAACCGCGCGCGCCAAGCGUGGUUGCGGCCAGUCCGCCACUGCCUGCACCUUUUCUGGAUCCAUGGCCACGCCUGCAGCGGAGAUGGUGUGACCCAGGUAUGCGAUUGAUUCAACGGCGAACGUGCAUUUGGAGCGCUUGACGAAGAGACGGUGCUGGUGCAGGACCGUGAAGACGGUGCGCACAUGUCGGAGAUGGUCAGCCCAUGUCUCGCUGAAAAUGAGGAUGUCGUCAAAGAAGACGAGAACAAAACGGCGCAGGUAUGGCCGCAGCAGAUCAUUCAUGAGGGCCUGGAACGUGGCCGGCGCGUUGCAGAGUCCGAACGGCAUCACCAGAAACUCGUAGAGGCCGUCAUGAGUACGGAAAGCUGUCUUCGGGAUGUCCUCCGCACGCAUCCGCACCUGGUGGUAGCCGGAACGUAAAUCGAGCUUGGUGAAGAAACGAGCGUGCCGUAGCUCGUCGAGGAGUUCGUCCACCACCGGAAUCGGGAACGCAUUCUUGACAGUAAUGGCGUUCAGGGCGCGAUAAUCGAUGCAGAAGCGCCAGGACCCGUCGGCCUUGCGGACCAGCAGUACCGGGGACGAGAAUGCGGAACAACUCGCACGGAUGAUACCUUGGGCGAGCAUGGCGGCGCACUGACGCUCCAGCUCGUCCUUGUGCGCGGCCGGGUAUCGAUACGGACGGACGGCCACCGGGGCGGAACCAGGUAGCAGGGUGAUGCCGUGAUCGCGGCUGCGGGGCGGUGGCACGCCGGAGGGGUCGGCGAAGAUGCCUUCGAACUCGGUGAUGAUGGCGUCCAGGAAGUCGCGGCCGCUGCAUGAUUUUAGGGCUGGCCCGUCCGGUCCUGCAAUGCCGUGCCAGCACACCCGAUGGCCCCGCCGCCAAAAUGUCAUGGAGAGGGCUCGGAAAUCCCACAGGAUCGGUCCGAGCGACGCCAGCCACUGCGUGCCCAGGACGAUGUCGUAGCCCGCGAGCGGCAAGGCGAGGAAAUCCUCCGCGAACUCCUCGUGGCCGAUGCGGAAGGGCACGACGCGGUACGCGCCCUGGCAUGGAACGCGCUUGCCGUUGGCCACCGUGACGCGCAUCUUCUCUGUGGUGGGGGGCGGUAACGUAGCACGAGCGGCCGCCUCUUCGGCGAUGAAGUUGUGGGUGGAGCCUGAAUCGAUCAGGGCGAGAAGGGAGACACCUCCGAGAGUAAUCUGCAUCUGCAUGGUUUCACUCGUGCGCACGCCGGCGAUCGCGUGGAGCGAGAUUUGAGGGUCGGCCCGCGAUGCAUCAUCAGUGGCGGAGGCCGCGUCGUCGUCGUCGUCGUCCGGCGCUAAGUCGAGGAGAAAGAUGCGCUGGCACACCCGGUUGUGGCCCCUGCCAAACUUCUCGUUACAGUUGAAGCAAAGGCCCAGGCGACGGCGUUCCUCCAUCUCUGUCUGGGAGAGACGCUUGAUUGGGCGUCCGUCCGGCAGAUUGUGGCCCUGCUGAGGUGCGGCUGGUGGGGCCGGAGCGGGGGGCGCGAGGCGUGGUCCUGGUGUCGGCAGGAUGCCCUUCUGUGGAACACGCACUGGUGGCGCGGCGGAAAGCGCGCACUGGUCGCGCAGCUCCAAUUUGCGGGCGAGGCUCAUGGCGACGGCGAGGGACUGUGGGUUAUGGAUCUCCACGUCGAGGCUGAGGGGUGGCUGGAGUCCCACGGUGAAGAUCUGCACUUUCUGUGUCUCGGAUAAGGUGCCUGCCCGGGGAAGGAGUGCCUCAAGCCGCUCCUGGAAGUCAACGACGGACGUCGUGCGUUUGCACGCCAUUAGUUCGCCCAGUGGGUUAGCGCGCAGCGGUGGCCCGAAGCGGAGAUUGAGCAGCUCGGAGAAGCGGCGCCACGGAGGUGUGCCCUCGUCGCGCUGGACCUGCAUAUACCAUAGUUGGGCAGGACCCUCGAGAUUGUAGGACGCCAUCCACACCUUCUCCUCCUCGGCGAUCCGUUGUUGAUGGAAGAAGGACUCGCAUCUGUUGAUGAAGGCGAGCGGAUCAGACUUGCCGUCGAACUUGGGGAAGUCCAUCUUCUGGAACCUGGGCGGCCGAUCAUUGUGGUGCUGCCCAUCAUGGGCGGCGGCAGCGCUGGACGAAGAGGAGGACUUGUCCUUCUGGAGUGCGGUGACGGACGACUGCAGGGACGUCACCGUGGCCGUCAAGGCCUCGAUCAUCUUAGCCAGAUCCGCGGUGGUCGGUUCUGCCAUGCCGGAAGUGACCGAGGCGGCAGCGGAUUGUGGCGAUGUCGGGGAGCUGGGCGCGGACACAGGGGGGAAAGCGACCGGCGGAUGGAGCGUGGACGAGGAGGAGGAUCGCCUGGAACCUGAUACCAAGUUGUCAAGGGCCUCGGUGCCCAAGACAGCAGGACCUCGACUACGUAGUUCGUAGUCGCGGUGGAUAGGAGCGCUAGGGUUUUUGCCUGGCUGCUCUAUGAUGCGGGAGGGGAAGAUAGAAGGAAAUAACUUUAUUGCUUAUCCCUAAAGGGUGCUAACUAUCUGAUAUAUAAAGGCCCCAUGGGCUAAUAACAAACUAGAAACCUAUACGAAACAAACUAGUCUAGGAACUAAUGUGCCCGGAUCAGGACUCCUGUCCAGCCUGCGCCUUGCCUGAUGCGGCCAUCGGCUGCUCCUGGCCGCGCGGCCCACGUCUGUAAGACAUGCCCCACAUGACAAAAACCACUAAGAUACCCUGAUACAAAAGCAUGUUCAUUUCUAUCUUACAACAAUGUCUUUCAAGAAGCAUAGUUAGUUAUAAGCUGUGGUGAAUUCCUAUCAGUGACACAAAGUUGUCAGCUACUUAAAUAGGCCCUCUAUGGCUAGCCCUAUAACGUGUACCAUUAAUCCAUGAUGGUCAUAAAUCUCACAACUCUAUCAUUCACACAUCUAACCCUGGAUAAUGCAUUUACUAAGCAGGUUCAAUUUGCAAUUAGAUUUGGUUUUCAGGCAUAUAUGCUUAUGCUGAUUUUCACUAUGUGCAUGCUUACAAAAUUUCAAUUGAAAGCACCACAGAGCCCAGAACACCAAGAAUGAUUGUUGCACAAGGAAUUCAGCAUGUUCAAGUUAAUUAAUCUGCCAAUAUACAAGUAAACAUAGUACAGAGAACAAUAUUCCGAAUCUAGGAGCUAGGUAAGCAACACAUAAGGCAAUCACCGACUGUGCAAGCUUAAUAAUCAAUUAAACUAUACUAUCCAAACUACGGUGAUUGAAGCAUAAACUGUUGUGGCUCUGAAUUUACCGGGGUGCUCUUCGUCGAGCUCCGUUGGCUGAGCGGCCGGGCGAGGUCGCGGAGGCAGAGGUAGGUGGUGUCGGUGGGCAAGGGGCAUGCAUCAGCAGCAGCAGAAAUGCUGCAGCUGAGCUAGACAGUCGUAGGUGCAGUAGCAGCUUGUAGCAAGGAGCGGCCUGCACUCAGCUCCUUGAGCGACUGGCCACAAAACAAGAAGUUGUACUGUUGGGCAGGAGGUCCUCAACCCCGCAACUCCUCCAGCAGGCUCCACUGUUUGCCGUUGAAUUAUAAGCCAUGGCAUUGGAGUGGGAUGCGUCCACACUGACGACAUUGAACAGACAGGGGUGGUGGCUGCGAACUGCUUGUACGUGGUGGUGGCGUAGUACCAUCAGGGAGGAGGAAGAGUGGUGGCAGGGGAGCAUCACCUGCUGCCGGAGGAUAAGUUGGCAAUAUCGUAUUCUAUUAUGUAUUGAACUUAAGUGCAGGGUUGAAUUGAACUUUUCUAACACAUAUUCACUGAACUCGGUCCCCUUGAAUGUUUAUUUUUAUAGUUAUGUUGGCAUGAGGCUAUGAAAUACAUCUCAACAAUUGUUUUUGGGUGAGUUUCAAAAAAUAUAAUACUAAGUGAACAGUACAACCUAACCUAACUGGAUAUGCAACAUGCAGUAGACAUGUUCAGUGUCUCGACUUUUCACAAAAAACUGCAGAUGUACUAUCAUCUAUGCAAAAAUGUAUCAUAGAAAUAAUGGAGAAGGCUUAGUUAAAAUGGGAACACCUUGUUCAGUUUUGAUCAAAUUAAUAUCACAAAGAGCACUCGCUACCUUCUCUACAGAGUCCAGGUUAUAGAAAAAAUGGUGAAGAAAUAAGAACAAUUAUCACUUGUACUGCCUAGAAAAUAACACGCAAACUUGUAGCAUUUGAUCAGUUGAACUUGUCAUAAUAGAAAUAAAUAACUAUGUACACGGAUACAACUUGCAUCAUCCAUGACAGUUUGAACUGUUGUCAUCCAUGAUGGUAUUGUGAUUACUUGAAUGGGUAGCGACGGUCAAUGUUCUAAACUGUACAAAAACUCAUGUUCUUUGACAGUUUAAAUUUUGUCUAAACUUACCGGUUUCCUGUCUCUGAACUUACAAAACUUACAGAGAUGUACUCAACCACCACCACGAUGAUAAGAUGGACACAGACCAAAGGAUUCGAUGCUCAUCAGUAAGUAGCAGGAUAACAUUCAGCAGGGCACGGUACGGUUGAGACAAAAAGAUUGAGAGUUUCAGACGAUACCGAAGGAUUGGUCGUUGAUGAACACCUACACUGUGUGGCGGGCAGAGUUGAUGAUGAGCUGUGGCCACUGGCCGGACUUGAGGAACUACUUGUUGGAGUUGAUGUUGACGCUACAUAUUCAGGGUGAAGUUAAGGGAUUAGCAGAUAUGAACCAAUGGUUUCAAGGAGACAGAAUGGUAGCCAGACUUAUCCCACGAAUGGGAUUCGACUUGGAUAGUGGCUAACGCUCAUUUGAACUGAGAAGGAGAUCGCGGUUGCGCCCAGAAGGAAGAGAAGGGGGUUGCCUGAGGCAGGGGGCCGGCGGUGGUCAGGGGAAGAAGUCGGGCGGUCGGUGGCGCUUUUCGGUUCAGAGAUGCAACGGUCAUGUCGGACGAAGGUCUCGGUGGCGCUCGCGUGCGGGGGGCACGGCGACCACGUCCAACGACGCUGGUUAUGGCGGGGCGCGCGCCAACGACGGGUCCAUGGAGGCUGUGGGAGGUGGCGGUGGUGGGGCGCACGCUGAUGGCGGGGACAUCAGUGGCUAUGGGAGGUGGCGGUGGUGGGGCGCGCACCAGCN